GACUACAGGGGUAUCUAAUCCUGUUUGCUCCCCACGCUUUCGCGCCUCAGCGUCAGAUAAUGCCCAGUGAACUGCCUUCGCCAUGGGUAUUCCUCCUGAUAUCUACGCAUUUCACCGCUACACCAGGAAUUCUAUUCACCUCUGCAUUCCUCAAGCCUGCCAGUAUGCGAAGCCGUUUCCGAGUUGAGCUCUGGAGAUUUCACUUCACACUUAACAGGCCGCCUACGCGCCCUUUACGCCCAGUAAAUCCGGACAACGCUUGCCCCCUACGUCUUACCGCGGCUGCUGGCACGUAGUUAGCCGGGGCUUAUUCACCAGGUACCGUCCUAAGUCUUUCCUGGUAAAAGGAGUUUACAGGCCUAGACCAUUCAUCCUCCACGCGGCGUCGCUGCAUCAGGGUUUCCCCCAUUGUGCAAGAUUCCCCACUGCUGCCCCCCGUAGG
rnacentral:rRNA from 1 species